GCUGAUGUGGCGCAGCUGGUAGCGCAACUGAUUCGUAAUCAGUAGGCCGUCGGUUCGAAUCCGAUCAUCAGCUCCA
rnacentral:tRNA from 1 species